rnacentral:rRNA from 1 species
UACGUAGGGGGCAAGCGUUGUCCGGAAUUAUUGGGCGUAAAGAGCUUGUAGGCGGUUUGUCGCGUCUGCUGUGAAAUUUCGGGGCUCAACCCCGAACUUGCAGUGGGUACGGGCAGACUAGAGUGUGGUAGGGGAGACUGGAAUUCCUGGUGUAGCGGUGAAAUGCGCAGAUAUCAGGAGGAACACCGAUGGCGAAGGCAGCUCGCUGGGACGGUACUGACGCUGAGGCGCGAAAGCGUGGGGAGCGAACAGG